AGUCAGAUGUUACAUUCACAUCUGGAAGCUGUGUGCGGGUGAAGUUCAUAUUUCCCAGCGGACGUAAAUGCAUCCUCCCUCCUUCCUGGACGUCUCCUCUCCCAGUUUAUUCUUUAACAGAAAAAGGCGGAAACGCGGCUGUCUGCAGUCCGAGCGAAAACUCUCAGAUCUCCCAGAAGUCGAUGAGUUAAGAAAUGGCCGGCAAAAAAACUGUUAGGAUUAUUAUAGCGGAGACGCUGGAGGACCUGUCCAAGGCCAAAUUUGACAAGUUCGUUCACCAUCUCUUGGAUCGCAGGGAAGAGCCGCGUGUCAAAUGCAACAGUGUUGAGGGCAAAGAUUAUUUAGGUGUCACCGACGUCCUGGUUUCAACUUAUACCGAGACCGGAGCUCCUCGGGUGGUUUGUGAGUUACUGCGGGAGAUUCGCUGCAACGACGAGGCAGACCGACUGGAAAGAGAACUAAACAAAGGACAUUAGACAUCUCAUUGGACGCUGACUUCAGGUGUUUUCGGUGCCAGAUUUCACCAUGGUCUCAGCCAGCCAGCCAAGUUGCCGCUGUCAACAUCAACCUCCAGGCUUCAUAUGUGUGCCCAGGUUGAGAUCAUCAGAGUCUAAAGAUCUCCAGUGCUCUCUUCUUCCCAUCACCAUCACCAGUGUCUAGUCCCAGUGGGUUUCCUAUACUUCGCACAGCCUCACCCCCUUUUCAAAUACGAUGACACUCACUUUUCUGCUUUUCUGCAAGUUGAUUUGUUGACUCAGAAUUUUUUUCUCACAUUGCAAUCUGCCAAAAUUAUCACAAUAUGAUUUUUUUUGGUUUAAUCAUAUUCAGGAUAUGAUGUUGGACAUAACCUGGUGAUUUAUACGUCUGUUUCCAGUAGCUUGGUAUCUGUGCAGGAGCCUCCAUAUCAGACAGUUUCUGCCAUUUCUGUACUUUGCUUGCAUUUACAAAUGUCUUGACCACACUAUUAUCCAAUAUUUAUUGCAGCUCUAUUUUUGAAAGUUUUUUUUUUUCACUAUAUAAUGCAUAGUUCAGCAUUAAAAUAAAUAAAUCAAUUUAUAAAUGUUUACAGCCUAAUAGCUCUGCGUUAAGAAAUAAUCCUGUCCUAUAAUAUUAAGUGUCCUAUAGUAUUUUCUAUAAUAUAAAUUUAGAGAGAACAUCAACAGUAUCGAUCUGUGAAUUAGGAAGAUCUGAAUGGCAUUUACAGACUCUAACCAAAUUUUCUAACAGCAACAUACAUACACACGCAUAUAUAUAUAUAUAUAUAUAUAUAUAUACAUACGUAUAUAUAUAUAUAUAUAUAUAUACACGCAUAUAUAUAUACAUAUAUACAUAUAUCAAAUUAAAGCUGUAUCGCUUGAUGUCCUGUGCAUGUAAUAGAGCACACAAAUGAAUAUCAAUCAAAGAUGAAUUAAAUAUUGGGGGGAAAUUUCUUAGAGUAAAAUAUAUAGCACCUAAUUUAUGUAAACCCCUUUUGGGUCCCAAGACCCAAAAGUUUUUGCAGUUUCAAAGUUGUCAUAAAACAGCUGAAUCUGCAAGGCAUCUUCUUCUACAGAAAAUAGGGGACUUUCUAUAAAAAUAAUAAAAUAGGUGGCAUCUCUCAAAUCUGCACACACACCUUCCUUGGGAAUAUACCUGGGCUUACAGAUGUCUGCAAAUUAUUUUUUUGUAUAAUACUCUUCAGUGUUUCCAAAAUGGGAACAUAUGCAAACGAAUCUUGUGCCAAGCACUUUUUGAACAGGCUCAACAAGUCCCCAUUUCUCUCUUAAGUGUUUGUUUAGUUUUGCUUCUGUAUUUAAAGGUGUGAAUGGAUUUUCCGACGUUUGGAAGGAUUGUUCUAUUUUGCUCCUAUUUUCUGUAUCCUGUGGAGACAAGCACUGUAAAGCUACAUCCUUUGCAGUGGCGGCUGGUGAAAAAUAUUCUAGGUGGGGCUGUAUGUGCCAGAAGCUUUCAGAAACUAUACCAAUAAAAGAACCCAAACCAAAAGAUACCAUUGUUUUAGGGAUAAACAAUAAUAAUUUAAUUGCCAUUUAGAAAUCAACAGUUUUACAGAUAAUGACAAUGAUAUGAGAUGUAUAUUAGUGAUUACUCUUAAUACAAAAUUAAAGUUCUUGAGAGACAUUUACAGUUGGAUGAUGAUUAAAAAUAACUAUAUACAAAGAAAAACUGUGUCAUAGGAACAUAACAUGUAGCAAUUGGAUUAAAUACAUUAGUGAAUACUCAAAAAAGAGUAUUUGUAAAGUACAAAAUUACAAUAUAAUGGUAUACUAUAAUGUUUACAGGUGGGUGGUGAUUAAAGUUAACUAUACACAGAAAAAG